rnacentral:rRNA from 1 species
UACGUAGGGUGCAAGCGUUAAUCGGAAUUACUGGGCGUAAAGCGUGCGCAGGCGGUUGUGCAAGACAGAUGUGAAAUCCCCGGGCUUAACCUGGGAACUGCGUUUGAAACUACAAGGCUAGAGUGUGGCAGAGGGGGGUGGAAUUCCACGUGUAGCAGUGAAAUGCGUAGAGAUGUGGAGGAACACCGAUGGCGAAGGCAGCCCCCUGGGCUAACACUGACGCUCAUGCACGAAAGCGUGGGGAGCAAACAGG